CAGUAGCCGCGGGAAUACGUAUGUCGCGAGCGUUAUCCGGAAUUAUUGGGCAUAAAGGGCAUCUAGGCGGCCUAACAAGUCAGGGGUGAAAACCUGCGGCUCAACCGCAGGCCUGCCUUUGAAACUGUAAGGCUGGAGUACCGGAGAGGUGGACGGAACUGCACGAGUAGAGGUGAAAUUCGUAGAUAUGUGCAGGAAUGCCGAUGAUGAAGAUAGUCCACUGGACGGAAACUGACGCUGAAGUGCGAAAGCCGGGGGAGCGAACAGGAUUAGAUACCCCGGUAGUCCCUGUCUCUUAUAC
rnacentral:rRNA from 1 species